rnacentral:rRNA from 1 species
CCUUGACAUACUAAGAACUUUCCAGAGAUGGAUUGGUGCCUUCGGGAGCUUAGAUACAGGUGCUGCAUGGCUGUCGUCAGCUCGUGUCGUGAGAUGUUGGGUUAAGUCCGCAACGAGCGCAACCCUUUUCCUUAUUUGCCAGCGGGUAAUGCCGGGAACUUUAAGGAUACUGCCAGUGACAAACUGGAGGAAGGCGGGGACGACGUCAAGUCAUCAUGGCCCUUACGGCCAGGGCUACACACGUGCUACAAUGGUCGGUACAAAGGGUUGCUACCUCGCGAGAGGAUGCUAAUCUCAAAAAGCCGAUCGUAGUCCGGAUCGCAGUCUGCAACUCGACUGCGUGAAGUCGGAAUCGCUAGUAAUCGCGGAUCAGAAUGCCGCGGUGAAUACGUUCCCGGGCCUUGUACACACCGCCCGUCACACCAUGGGAGUUUGUUGCACCAGAAGUAGGUAGUCUAACCGCAAGGAGGACGCUUACCACGGUGUGGCCGAUGACUGGGGUGAAGUCGUAACAAGGUAAGCGUAGAUGA